CUUGCCUUUGAUGAUUAAGUGCUAGCACCUGGCCCUUGCCACCUCAGAAUACAGUUAUUUCCAUUACAUGUACCUUUUUCAGUUGAGUGACUGAGGUUCCCACUGUAAAGUCCAGCUUAAACAGAAGAGUAACUACGGAGCUCUUCAGGGAUGCUGGGGCUCCCCUAACAAAUCUGUUUCUCAAUGUGUUCAUGAGAGGUGUGUCUUCUGGAUUCUUCCAGUGUGGGCAAAGAACAUGGACUCACAGACACUGGAUGGCUUGCACAAUGUCUUGAAGCCCCAAAGACUAGGUUGAAAUGCACAUGCAUUUUCACAAUACCACGCUUCCUCAUCUCUGUAAAGCUUACAUUUUAAUCCUCAUACAAGCUUUUGACUGAAAGGGCCUAUAAGAAAGGACAUCCCAGUGGAAGUCAGCACAUGUUAUGCAUAGAUAUUGGCUUGUAACAACAUUCCCCAUUAAAAGAAACCAGAGCUCCUGGGAGAAGUGGCUGAUAUUACAAUAGCAGAAGAAAUAUACAAGUUGGGCCUGAGUACUUUGUAGUGCCAGAAGGUUAAGAAGGACUAAAAGACCCCACAAUU